UUCCAGACUCCUACGGGAGGCAGCAGUGAGGAAUAUUGGUCAAUGGACGGAAGUCUGAACCAGCCAUGCCGCGUGCAGGAAGACGGCUCUAUGAGUUGUAAACUGCUUUUGUACAAGGGUAAACCUGAAUACGUGUAUUCAGCUGAAAGUACUGUACGAAUAAGGAUCGGCUAACUCCGUGCCAGCAGCCGCGGUAAUACGGAGGAUGCGAGCGUUAUCCGGAUUUAUUGGGUUUAAAGGGUGCGUAGGCGGAAUGCCAAGUCAGCGGUAAAAUCGCGGGGCUCAACCUCGCUCCGCCGUUGAAACUGGCGUUCUUGAGUGGGCGAGAAGUAUGCGGAAUGCGUGGUGUAGCGGUGAAAUGCAUAGAUAUCACGCAGAACUCCGAUUGCGAAGGCAGCAUACCGGCGCCCAACUGACGCUGAAGCACGAAAGCGUGGGUAUCGAACAGGAUUAGAUACCCUAGUAACG
rnacentral:rRNA from 1 species